rnacentral:rRNA from 1 species
GACGAACGCUGGCGGCGUGCUUAACACAUGCAAGUCGAACGGUGACGGAGAGCUUGCUCUCCUGAUCAGUGGCGAACGGGUGAGUAACACGUGGGCAACCUGCCCAGACUUCGGGAUAACGCUUCGAAAGAGGUGCUAAUACCGGAUACGAGCUCCUUGGGCAUCCUUGGAGUUGGAAAGUUUUUCGGUCUGGGAUGGGCCCGCGGCCUAUCAGCUAGUUGGUGAGGUAACGGCUCACCAAGGCGACGACGGGUAGCCGGCCUGAGAGGGCGACCGGCCACACUGGGACUGAGACACGGCCCAGACUCCUACGGGAGGCAGCAGUGGGGAAUAUUGCGCAAUGGGCGAAAGCUCGACGCAGCAACGCCGCGUGAGGGAUGACGGCC